rnacentral:misc_RNA from 1 species
GCAAACUUGGUCAUUUAGAGGAAGUAAAAGUCGUAACAAGGUCUCCGUUGGUGAACCAGCGGAGGGAUCAUUACAGAGUUAUGACGCUCCCAACCCUUUGUGAACUUACCGUUGUUGCCUCGGCGCAUAACCUGGAGUCACCUACCCUGGAGCCAUCUACCCUGUAGAUGUCUACCCUGGAGCUACCCGGUAGACUGCCAGCCGCGCCAAAGGACCGCCAAAACUCUUGUUUUAUUUACCGUGUAUCUCUGAGUGAUAUCAAAAUUCGUUAAAACUUUCAACAACGGAUCUCUUGGUUCUGGCAUCGAUGAAGAACGCAGC